rnacentral:lncRNA from 1 species
GUAUUAAGUCACAUGACGUUGUAACGGUCAAGUGAUUGUUUACUAUAAACACGUGUGUGUGUUUAUAUCAAGCACAUGGUGUGUGUUUACGUUCUAUUUGAUUGGAUGGCAUAUACCCGUACUGCCGGUUUUACGGGUAUAUGCCCUCAUGAUUUUCGUGAAAAGCAUGAUUAAGUAUUACUUAAGGGGGUAGCUUGAGAAAAUUAAGUUAUUCGAAGUUUGCCUAUAGUACGACGUAGCAGCAUUCGUUAUUGUGGUAUGUCUGACUCCGAGAAACUUCUAGAUUCCGACCAUGAAUCUUUGCCAGCUGGUACUAGUGUACAUUCGUUGCGUGAUGGUAUUUCUGCACAUAAUACUGGGAAUAACGACUUGGUGGAUACUUCUCUCUGUUUAAGACCUAUCUUGAUGGGAAGAUCGCUACUCUACACAAAGAUUUGGCAGUUGGCAACGAGAAUUU